GAAGUACUCCCUCCGUCCCAAAAUUCUUGUCUUAGAUUUGUCUAGAUACGGAUGUAUCAAGUCACAUUUUAGUAUUAGAUACAUCCGUAUCUAGACAAAUCUAAGACAAGAAAUUUGGGACAGAGGGAGCAGUUA
rfam:Triticum aestivum genome assembly, contig: Triticum_aestivum_CS42_TGACv1_scaffold_161087_2DL